rnacentral:lncRNA from 1 species
CAAGCCAUCUGAACAGUGCAAUUACUAUUGUUUUGCUAGGAUAUGGUAAAUCCCCGGGGACAAAAUUGCAGGUUUCCCUUUAGAAAGUGAAUGCAUGACGCUCUUAACUUCAUGUGCAAAGCCUAUCUUGCUCACGUAAUAUGUACACGAGAUGAAACUUAAAAGGUCAAUGGUAUUUUGGAGUUGUAAUCUAGCGUGUGAGGAGUUAAUAACUCUUAUUAUUUUGCUUUAAUUGUACGUAAAUGGUGUAUAACUUAUACAAGGUCUAUCAUGUUUCUUACAGAAAUUACUAAAAUUUUGUUGCAGGAUAUUAACGAUGAUUAUCACUAGGCUAGCCAAAGAGACAAUGAAUCUACAGUAUCAGUUGAAUUGCAAACUGCCCCUCUAAGAGAUGGUGUCCUUCCAAGAGUUCUAUGCCAAGUAAUUAUUGAAUGCAUUCCUUUUCCGGCUGGUGGAACUUCACAUAUUUAGAUUUUGAACUUCUCUUUACUGUUUGGAACUUGUCUCUGCAUUUUGCAGCAACUUAUCUGUAGAAUGUAAUAAAUGCUGGUCAACUUUGAAAGGGUUGUUAUUAUUAUAUCGACUUGGUUUUGCCCAAUGCUCGAUAUGGUUGGCACAAAUUUAUUCUAGAGGGCUCUCUGUUGCCCUUAUUCUAUCUGUUUUGAACAUAUUACGUACUAUACUGUAAAGAAUUUCCUAGUGGCAGGGAGUUUGAUUCAGAUCUUGGAUAGAGAUCUCUUUUUAUAAUAUAGGAGGCAAGUUAGUAAUAACAACUCAUUGGUUAGUAGUUUGUUUACUAGUCCAUCUUGCAUUUGAGAAUUUCUAUCUGCAAGUCAUCC